GAUGAACGCUGGCGGCGUGCUUAACACAUGCAAGUCGAACGAAGCACUUUACCUUGAUUCCUUCGGGUUGAUUGGUACUGUGACUGAGUGGCGGACGGGUGAGUAACGCGUGGGGAACCUGCCCCAUACAGGGGGAUAACAGAUAGAAAUGUCUGCUAAUACCGCAUAAGACCACAGCACCGCAUGGUGCAGGGGUAAAAACUGAGGUGGUAUGGGAUGGACCCGCGUCUGAGUAGCUGGUUGGUGAGGUAACGGCUCACCAAGGCGACGAUCAGUAGCCGACCUGAGAGGGUGACCGGCCACAUUGGGACUGAGACACGGCCCAA
rnacentral:rRNA from 1 species